GAAAUGCGAUAAGUAAUGUGAAUUGCAGAAUUCAGUGAAUCAUCGAAUCUUUGAACGCACAUUGCGCCCGCCAGUAUUCUGGCGGGCAUGCCUGUUCGAGCGUCAUUACAACCCUCAGGCCCCCGGGCCUGGCGUUGGGGAUCGGCGGAAGCCCCCUGCGGGAACAACGCCGUCCCCCAAAUACAGUGGCGGUCCCGCCGCAGCUUCCAUUGCGUAGUAGCUAACACCUCGCAACUGGAGAGCGGCGCGGCCACGCCGUAAAACACCCAACUUCUGAAUGUUGACCUCGAAUCAGGUAGGAAUACCCGCUGAACUUAAGC
rnacentral:misc_RNA from 1 species